rnacentral:rRNA from 1 species
GACGAACGCUGGCGGCGUGCUUAACACAUGCAAGUCGAACGAAGUGGCGAACGGGUGAGUAACGCGUAAUCAACCUGCCCUUCAGGGGGGGACAACAGUUGAAAACGACUGCUAAUACCCAAUAAUGAAGGAGGGGAUUGCGUCGGAUUCGCUCGUUGGAGGGGUAACGGCCAACCAAGGAGAUGAUCAGUAGCCGGUCUGGGAGGAUGAACGGCCACAUUGGGACUGAGACACGGCCCAGACUCCUACGGGAGGCAGCAGUGGGGAAUCUUCCGCAAUGGACGAAAGUCUGACGGAGCAACGCCGCGUGAGUGAUGACGGCCUUCGGGUUGUAAAGCUCUGUUAAUCGGGACGCGGUACCGGAAUAGAAAGCCACGGCUAACUACGUGCCAGCAGCCGCGGUAAUAC